rnacentral:rRNA from 1 species
CAAUAUAGAAGGUCAGGCUGAAGACCUUACCCGAUUAGCUGAGAGGUGGUGCAUGGCCGUCGUCAGUUCGUACUGUGAAGCAUCCUGUUAAGUCAGGCAACGAGCGAGACCCACGUCCACAGUUGCCAGCAUACCCUCCGGGGUGAUGGGUACACUGUGGAGACCGCCGCUGCUAAAGCGGAGGAAGGAGUGGGCAACGGUAGGUCAGUAUGCCCCGAAUCUCCCGGGCUACACGCGGGCUACAAUGGUUGGUACAAUGGGCAUCUACCCCGAAAGGGGAAGGAAAUCUCUUAAAGCCAAUCGUAGUUCGGAUUGAGGGCUGCAACUCGCCCUCAUGAAGCUGGAAUCCGUAGUAAUCGCGUUUCAACAGAACGCGGUGAAUACGUCCCUGCUCCUU